CACUUCAUGACUGAGAGCAGAACAGAACAGAAUCUUCAUCAUCACACAAGACAAAACAACAACAAUGAACAACAUCAUCAUCCUCAUCUGGACACUCACACUGUUUGCUCAAGAGUGUAGAGGACAGUACACUGUUACUCAGAGUCCAUCAAUAUCAGCAGCUCAAGGAGAAGAAGUCAGAAUAAACUGUAAAAUCAGCAGUACAGUGUGUGGUAGAAAUUACUUACACUGGUACUUACAGAAACCUGGAGAAGCUCCUAAACUCCUCAUAUAUUAUGCAACAAGCCGAUACACUGGAACUCCAUCUAGAUUCAGUGGCAGUGGAUCUGGCACUGAUUUCUCUCUGACCAUCAGUGGAGUCCAGACUGAAGAUACAGGAGAUUAUUACUGUCAGAGUGAACACUGUCCUUGUCAGGCAUUCACCACAGCCACCUCCAUCUGUCACGUCACCCACAGCUCCACCCACUCGUUUUGCCUCACCGGAGUUCUGAUUCGCAUCACCUGA